rnacentral:rRNA from 1 species
GAUGAACGCUGGCGGCGUGCCUAAUACAUGCAAGUCGAGCGGUAAGGCCACUUCGGUGGUACACGAGCGGCGGACGGCUGAGUAACACGUAGGAACGUACCCCAAACUGAGGGAUAACUGCUCGAAAGAGUAGCUAAUACCGCAUGUGCUCUUCGGAGUAAAGCUACGGCGGUUUGGGAACGGCCUGCGCAUGAUUAGCUUGUUGGCGGGGUAAAAGCCCACCAAGGCGACGAUCAUUAGCUGGUCUGAGAGGAUGAUCAGCCAGACUGGGACUGAGAACGGCCCAGACUCCUACGGGAGGCAGCAGUAGGGAAUUUUCCACAAUGGACGAAAGUCUGAUGGAGCAACGCCGCGUACAGGAUGAAGGCUCUUGGGUCGUAAACUGCUUUUAUAUGUGACGAAUAUGACGGUAGCAUAUGAAUAAGGAUCGGCUAACUCCGUGCCAGCAGCCGCCG